rnacentral:rRNA from 1 species
UACGUAGGCGGUCUAACAAGUCAGAGGUGAAAUCCACCGGCUCAACCGGUGAACUGCCUUUGAAACUAUUGGACUUGAGGAUAAGAGAAGAAAGCGGAAUUCCUAGUGUAGUGGUGAAAUACGUAGAUAUUAGGAAGAAUACCGAUGGCGAAGGCAGCUUUCUAGCUUACUCCUGACGCUGAGGUACGAAAGCUAGGGUAUCAAACG